UACGUAGGGUGCAAGCGUUAAUCGGAAUUACUGGGCGUAAAGCGCGCGCAGGCGGUCCUUUAAGUCUGAUGUGAAAGCCCACGGCUCAACCGUGGAGGGUCAUUGGAAACUGGAGGACUUGAGUACAGAAGAGGAAAGCGGAAUUCCACGUGUAGCGGUGAAAUGCGUAGAGAUGUGGAGGAACACCAGUGGCGAAGGCGGCUUUCUGGUCUGUAACUGACGCUGAGGCGCGAAAGCGUGGGGAGCAAACAGG
rnacentral:rRNA from 1 species